rnacentral:rRNA from 1 species
UGGGGAAUAUUGCACAAUGGGCGAAAGCCUGAUGCAGCAACGCCGCGUGAGGGACGACGGCCUUCGGGUUGUAAACCUCUUUUAGCAAGGAAGAAGCGAAAGUGACGGUACUUGCAGAAAAAGCGCCGGCUAACUACGUGCCAGCAGCCGCGGUAAUACGUAGGGCGCAAGCGUUAUCCGGAAUUAUUGGGCGUAAAGAGCUCGUAGGCGGUUUGUCGCGUCUGCUGUGAAAACCCGAGGCUCAACCUCGGGCCUGCAGUGGGUACGGGCAGACUAGAGUGCGGUAGGGGAGAUUGGAACUCCUGGUGUAGCGGUGGAAUGCGCAGAUAUCAGGAAGAACACCGAUGGCGAAGGCAGAUCUCUGGGCCGUAACUGACGCUGAGGAGCGAGAGGGUGGGGAGCAAACAGGCUUAGAUACCCUGGUAGUCCACCCCGUAAACGUUGGGAACUAGUUGUGGGGUCCAUUCCACGGAUUCCGUGACGCAGCUAACGCAUUAAGUUCCCCGCCUGGGGAGUACGGCCGCAAGGCCUAAAACUGCAAAUGAAUUGACGGGGUCAUAGCUGUUUCCU